UGACAUCUGACCUCAAAUCAGGUAGGACUACCGCUGA
rnacentral:rRNA from 1 species